rnacentral:rRNA from 1 species
UACAGAGGGGGCAAGCGUUGUUCGGAAUUACUGGGCGUAAAGGGCGCGUAGGCGGCCUUCUAAGUCGAACGUGAAAUCCCCGGGCUCAACCCGGGAACUGCGUCCGAUACUGGAAGGCUUGAAUCCGGGAGAGGGAUGCGGAAUUCCAGGUGUAGAGGUGAAAUUCGUAGAUAUCGGGAGGAACACCGGUGGCGAAGGCGGCGACUCGUGAGACGCAUUGACGCUGAGGUAGCGAAAG